UGGGGAAUAUUGCGCAAUGGGCGAAAGCCUGACGCAGCGACGCCGCGUGGAGGAUGAAGGUCUUAGGAUCGUAAACUUCUGUUAAGUGGGAAAAAAGACUCAUUCCUAAUACGAAUGAGGGAUGAUGGUACCACUAGAGAAAGCACCGGCUAAUCUCGUGCCAGCAGCCGCGGUAAUACGAGAGGUGCGAGCGUUAUUCGGAUUUAUUGGGUGUAAAGGGUGCGUAGACGGCGCGUUAAGUUUGUUGUUAAAUCCUCCGGCUCAACCGGAGAUGUGCGGCAAAUACUGGCGUGCUAGAGGAUGGAAGAGAGAAGUGGAAUUCUUGGAGUAGCGGUAAAAUGCGUAGAUCUCAAGAGGAACACCGAUGGCGAAGGCAGCUUCUUGGUCCAUUCCUGACGUUGAGGCACGAAAGCGUGGGGAGCAAACAGG
rnacentral:rRNA from 1 species